rnacentral:rRNA from 1 species
GUGAACGUUCCGAAGACCAAGAAGACCUACUGCAAAAACAAGGAGUGCAAGAAGCACACCCUUCACAAGGUCACUCAAUACAAGAAGGGUAAGGACAGCCUGUCUGCCCAGGGAAAGCGUCGUUAUGACAGGAAGCAGUCGGGAUACGGUGGUCAGACCAAGCCCGUUUUCCACAAGAAGGCGAAAACCACCAAGAAGAUUGUGCUGAAGCUGCAGUGCCAGAGCUGCAAGCACUACUCCCAGCGCGCCAUCAAGGUCUGUUUCUUUUUUUCUUGUACUGAACAUUUAUUUUUUGUUCCGUUGUGCUUUGCUCAGCCUGUCUUUAUUCCUCUGCAGAGGUGCAAGCAUUUUGAGAUCGGUGGAGACAAGAAGGGCAAGGGAACAUCCCUCUUCUAG